GUGUAUUUUAUGAUUGUACUUCAUUAAUGGAUAUUUUUGGUUGAGGAUCAUCUUAUGCUUGUAUUUGUAGGUCUUGAACUUCUUCAAGUUUAAUUUUCUUCCCACUGUCUCUUUCUAGGAUAAUUUUUUUUUCAUAAAAAUGGCAUGCUUACUGACAAAAAUCUUUUAUUUAGUAGGGUGCUAAAAUAGGUAUCCUAUACUCUCUUUAGAUUAACCUACAAACAAGUAUUUAUCUACCAUAGCACUCUGCUUAUGUCCAAAAUUUCUUUUAACAUAAGCUGGACAGCUCCAUAUCUCAAG
rnacentral:lncRNA from 1 species